GACGAACGCUGGCGGUGUGCUUAACACAUGCAAGUCGAACGGUAAGGCCCUUUCGGGGGUACACGAGUGGCGAACGGGUGCGUAACACGUGAGUAACCUGCCCUCAUCUCUGGGAUAACAGUCGGAAACGGUUGCUAAUACUGGAUAUGAGCUUGCAAGGCAUCUUGUGGGUUGGAAAGAUUUUUUUUGGUUGGGGAUGGACUCGCGGCCGAUCAGCUUGUUGGUGAGGUCGUGGCUCACCAAGGCUUCGACGGGUAGCCGGCCUGCGAGGGCGACCGGCCACACUGGGACUGAGAUACGGCCCAAACUCCUACGGGAGGCAGAAGUGGGGAAUAUUGCACAAUGGACGGAAGUCUGAUGCAGCAACGCCGCGUGCGGGAUGACGGCCUUCGGGUUGUAAACCGCUUUCAAUUGUGACGAAGCUUUUUUGUGACGGUAGCAGUAGAAGAAGCACCGGCUAACUACGUG
rnacentral:rRNA from 1 species